rnacentral:tRNA from 1 species
UGGAAGGGUGGCCGAAUGGUAAGGCGCUCGUUUGCUAAGCGAGUUUGGUGAAAUACCCAAUGCAGGUUCAAUUCCUGUCCCUUCCGUC